CGGAAAGGCCUGGAAGAAAAGACCCACAGCUUUUCCACGCGGUGCUUCAGGAACGGCCGCGCCCCCACGUGCUCUCGGGUGCAAUCCGUGCCAGAAGGAAGGAAGGGCAGCCUCGCUCUGACUGCACGCUAAACUAUAAAGGGACCUGCGCAGAAAGCUGAGGGUUCUCUUUUCGCUGGACCAUGGCAUCAUCAUUCUUAACACCAUCAAAGCAGUUGCAAAAAGAUACCAAGAUGAAGGGGAGCCCAAAGCAUCCGAGAGAACUCGUCACAGAAAAUAACUUGAUUAAAACCUGACUUUUAAAAGUGGCCAUGCGGACCAGCACGGUGAACACUCCCCUGACCAUGUCUUACUCAGAGCCUUAAGAAGAGUUGGAGGUGGAGCGGAGCUGUGGGGAGGGGCCCAGUGUCUCUCAGAACUUCUCAUUCUCCGGGCUUCCCUAGGAUGCAAUGGGUCAGAGCUCCCAGAUCUCUUAUGCCUCCAAACACAUUGAUUCCCCCCAACUUUUUUACAACGGAUUUCCCAGUUCCUUCCAAUCUCAUCUCUCUAAGUAAAUAAGAAGGGGUUUCUACCGAUGGCUUUCCCAUGGCCCGGCUUCAUGCUGCUCCUGUCAGGAUGGAUCAGGAAAGGAGCUGGCCCUGAAGAUGAAUCUACCAUACAGUAGGUAGAGGCACGUGACAAGCACGCGCCAAGUCCUAAGCUGAUGCCCGCUAUCAGAAUAAACUGGGUGUGGUGGUGCGUGUUUGUAAUGCCACACUUGAGAGGUCCCAGCAGGAUGGCCAGAACUUCAGCUCAGCUACAGUGCAAGCUGGAGGCCAACCUGUGCUACAUGAGACGCUGUCUAAAUGACAAAACACAUCAAACAGACAAACAAAAGGGCUAAGGUUGGCUAAGGGAUAUCGAGUCAGAAAACCAGCUUGCAUGGAGAAUGCGCUCCUGGAAGCAAGGAUAUCGUUUACAGCCAUAAAAUGAUAAUAACCUGGUAGGAAAACGGGAUGGGAUUUAUAAGUGUCUUCAACAUGCAGAACGAGUAAAACUCACUACACUUCUCAAAAAUGGCAGUGUGGGAACCUUUGAGAGGGGCUCAGUGGGUGAAGGAGUUUGCUAUGGAGCCAAAUGACCUGAGUUCAAGCCCCACCACCCACAAGGUAGAAGGAAAGGAACAACUCCCGCAAGCUGUCUUCUGACCUCCGUGGUGGUACUAUAGCACGCCUCUGCCCCUACCCCACACAAAUAAGAAAACAACAAACAAAUAAACAAAUAAAUGUAAAUAAAACC
ensembl:processed_transcript